rnacentral:rRNA from 1 species
GGAAUUUUGCGCAAUGGGCGAAAGCCUGACGCAGUAACGCCGCGUGGAGGAUGAAGGCCCUCGGGUCGUAAACUCCUGUCAGGGGGGAAGACGGCAAGGGGAUGAACAAUCCCUAUUUCCAGACGGUACCCCCAACGGAAGCCCCGGCUAAUUCCGUGCCAGCAGCCGCGGUAAGACGGAAGGGGCAAGAGUUGUUCGGAAUCCUUGGGCGUAAAGGGCGCGUAGGCGGUUUCGUAUGUCUGCUGUGAAAGCACACGGCUUAACCGUGGAGAGUCGGUGGAAACUGCGAAACUUGAGGCUGGGAGGGGCUGGUGGAAUUCCCUGUGUAGCGGUGAAAUGCGUAGAUAUGGGGGAGAACACUCGUGGCGAAGGCGGCCAGCUGGACCAGUUCUGACGCUGAGGCGCGACAGCGUGGGGAGCAAAC